CAGAAUGGAUGGCACCCAGAACACCAAAAGCAGUACAAAGAAUGUGGUUCCUGUUUUAGGCAAUUGCAGGGUCACCAAGUUGUCAGAGACACACAGUGCCCUGAAUUCAGGACUUGACAGGGUGCAGAAACUGAAAGGAAUUAUCCGUUCUAUUAUAGUUACUACUUACAUCAAAUCUUCCAGAGCUUCAUUUGUCACAAAUUAUUUCACUGCAGGACUGUGUUCAUGCUGCCACUCAGUGGUAGCAAAGAGAUAGCUCAUCUCUGUCUAUCGAUUCCAUCUGCAUGCAACAGCUGCAGAUAAAGGACUAGACACUCUUUAACCAGGCAGCCAGCUGGACUAAAGCCCACAAAAAAACAACUACUCUAAACUUCUCAGUGAUAAGAGAAAAAAUAAGAAUCUGCUCCAGCAACAUUACUUUCCAGUUCUUCCUUCACAGCAACAGCCCAGAAAGCUAAUAUAACUGCAAUCAACGGCCCACAUCCAUGAAGAACCUAUCUAUAGAAUCUCCAUGACAUGUAUUGUUAUAUACGAUGGCAAUGGCUAAGUUUUCCAAUAAACGUGUGACUCAAGUUGAUACACUUUUAUUGCUAUUUGCCACGUGUUCCUUUGACUUAUUCCAUGAGUUUAUAAAGUGAUGGAUAGCCAUGAAUAUGUUCUAAAUUAAAGGAGGAGAUUUUCAUGGUUACUUCACCACUGAUAUGGGAGUCCAUGGAUAUAUGUUAACUUAAAACUAGGUCAAGUAGAUAGUUAAUUGGGGGGAGGAAUAGCUCAGCAGUUUGAGCAUUGGCCUGCUAAACCCAGGGUUGUGAGGUCAAUCCUUGAGGGGGC